CAACUCUACUUCUCAUUCCAGCCAGAUGAUCCGAUGGUAGCUGCUUGCAUUACAGCCUGUAUGAGUGACAUUUCUAGCUGGAUGAAUGACCAUCACCUUGUAACGGCCUUUAGAGCAGCUACUUUGGUUUUUGAACAAUAGUACCACUACCAUGCUCUAGGGGGCUCUCCAGACGAUUCUUUUUUUGGAUAAAAGGCAGGAAGAAGUAGAGUAGGAGUAUUGUUUGGUUGGAGAGAAGCAUGGCCUUCUUCUGCUAACCUUAUGUAUAGAGUCUGGGUUGAGAAAAUGUGGUUUUAAGCUCAUCCAAAAGGACUUCUCAUAGAUACUUCAUCUACAGAUUUAUCCUUCUUAUUCUACUUGAUGCUUCCAUCCUAUGCUGUACUGGCUCUUAAUGGACACGAAUUAGUCAUGCCAGUAUCAUCAUUUGAUGACUUGGAUCAACUGAGAUUUGAGAUGGUUGAGGUUUACAAGGACACCAUUAUUGCAAUGUAAGCUGAAUUGAAGCCUGGAUUGACUGAAGUUAGAAUCUGAAAUGAACUACUGGACUUUUUUGCUAUUUUCUUGUCUGACAAAUCCACUUUCUUCAUCUGCAUUUGUGGUAUGGACAAUGACCAGAUAUGUUUGUUACCAUUUAUCCUUUUUCACUAUGUCAACUCAGAAACCAUGCAUGCAUAUCUUCAAUUGUUGAUUCACUGUUUUGAUGGUUUUGUGGGACAUAUUUAAUAUAAACAUUUAUGCAAUUACUUAGGUGUUUGUACUUGGUUUGUGUUUCUGAGUCUGGUUAAUUCCAUAAUAGUCGAUGAAGUCCUCCCUUAUAAAUUUAUUUGUGAUGAGUCCUUCUGAGAGUUCUCGGUUGGAAGGUUACAAAAUGGUGCCCGAACAGGGACUCUAAGACUAUUUGGCCAGAAUUCCAAACCCUAAGAAAAACACUAAAAGAAAGAGAAAAAAAAAUUAAGUCCUUUAUUUUUGCAAUAUACAUUCAGUCUAUCAUGGAUGGGGAUAUAGUCACUUCCCAAACAGAUUUCACAGCAGGGUCCUUUCAUUCUCGAAGAGAGCCAAUAAGAGACCUGAUUACCACUUUUAGUGAUUUAUAUAUUAACUCUGAUGAAGAGAGUGAGAGAGCUGAAGAUAAUGAUCCAGAUGAAGAGCUCCAUUUUCCACCACCACCACCCCAAUUGACCGUUGAAUCUGAUGAUCAAUCACCGGCUGUAAACUCUAUGCUAAAUGCACGGGUCACCUCUUUAGAAGCACACUUAAUGGAUCUAGAGAAGGGGGUAAGUGAAAAAGUUUCGUUGGUGGAGUUGGAGAAACAAUGCAGGAAGCUGGAGGAUAAGAUAUCGUAUCUGGUGCAACGCGAAUGUGAAAGGGUCAAACAACAGCUGGAGAUGUUUGACUGUUUAAAGAGAAGAGAUCGGCAAUUGGAUCAUUAGUUUCAAGCCAUGAUACCUCCUUCAUCUACACUGAUUGUUACAAGCCAGAACCCUCUAGCUAACAUCCAAUGUGCAAAACCCAGCCACUCUACCUAUAUUGAGCAAUCUGUUCAAGGCAACCAGUCUUCAUUACAAUACAAUCCUCCAGUAAAAAUUGAAUUCCCUAGUUUCUCUAAUUCCCAAGAAGAUGAUCCUGUUGUGUUCAUAGAACAGUGUGAUUAGUAUUUUGCUGUACGUCCUUUGAAUGAAGAAGAGAUUUUAGCCUCGCUUACAGCUGUGCUAAAAGGAACUGCCAAGGAUUGGUGGAGGGCUGAGCGAAGAAAAGUGAGCAACUGGAAACAGUUUAAGCAAAGAUUCCGGAGUUCUUUUUUAAGAGAAGUCCACAAGGAGAUAGCAGCUAGGAAGUUACUGGAAAGAAAGCAAGGUGUUAAGGAGAGCAUCCAGGAUUUUUCUUUUCAUUACCGAGCUUUAUGCCUGAGAUGGAGAAAAGAAAUGACGGAAAAGGAGAUAGUUCAAGCAAUUCUAAGAAACCGCAAUCCCCGACUUGCUAGCCUGUUAAGAGGAACUAUCAAAGAUGUUGAGGAGCUGGUUCGGAUAGGAACUCAAAUCGAGCGUGUUUUCGAUGAGUCUAAGAAGUUCUGGUGUCAAGCUAAUGGUGAGGAGCAGAGGAAGAAAAUGGCCGCUGCCGAGCGUCAACGAAAAUUCCCCUAUGCAAGUAAUCAAGUGAUGCAAGCCUGCCAGGAACCAGUAUCACUACAAAAUAAUAAGAACAUCGCCAUUCCAAUACAAGGCAGGUAUGUUGUUUCCAUUAUUGAUACAGGAAGUACCCUCUCGUUGAUCAAAGAGUCCUUAUUGAAACAGUUGUGCUGGCAAGAACCGUAUCAAUCAAGCGAAGGCCAAUCUUUUCUGUUGGCAAAUGGACAAAGACAAACUGCAGUGGGAAAGGUUAAUUGGAAAUCUGAAGUGUAAGAACAAGUAGUGCCUGUUAGGAUGUACCGGCCGCCAGGUGUCAAUAAGACAAUAGGGAACAAAUUGCACAGUUCAGAGUGGUUUUAAUCCCCAGGGUGCAAAAAUAGUUCUCCAGAGUGUGCAAUGUAGCAAUAGUCAAAAACAAAGCAAAAAAUAGCAAAAAAAAAAAAAAGUUAUUUACAAUAUUCAAACAAA